GGGUUGUGAGGUUAAGCGACUAAGCGUACACGGUGGAUGCCCUGGCAGUCAGAGGCGAUGAAGGACGUGCUAAUCUGCGAUAAGCGCCGGUAAGGUGAUAUGAACCGUUAUAACCGGCGAUUUCCGAAUGGGGAAACCCAGUGUGAUUCGUCACACUAUCAUUAACUGAAUCCAUAGGUUAAUGAGGCGAACCGGGGGAACUGAAACAUCUAAGUACCCCGAGGAAAAGAAAUCAACCGAGAUUCCCCCAGUAGCGGCGAGCGAACGGGGAGGAGCCCAGAGCCUGAAUCAGCAUGUGUGUUAGUGGAAGCGUCUGGAAAGGCGCGCGAUACAGGGUGACAGCCCCGUACACAAAAGCGCAUGUGUUGUGAGCUCGAUGAGUAGGGCGGGACACGUGGUAUCCUGUCUGAAUAUGGGGGGACCAUCCUCCAAGGCUAAAUACUCCUGACUGACCGAUAGUGAACCAGUACCGUGAGGGAAAGGCGAAAAGAACCCCGGCGAGGGGAGUGAAAAAGAACCUGAAACCGUGUACGUACAAGCAGUGGGAGCACAGGUUUACCUGUGUGACUGCGUACCUUUUGUAUAAUGGGUCAGCGACUUAUAUUCUGUAGCAAGGUUAACCGUAUAGGGGAGCCGGAGGGAAACCGAGUCUUAAU
rnacentral:rRNA from 1 species